ACUCCUACGGGAGGCAGCAGUGGGGAAUAUUGCACAAUGGGCGAAAGCCUGAUGCAGCAAUGCCGCGUGUGUGAAGAAGGCCUGCGGGUUGUAAAGCACUUUUAUCGGGAAAGAAAAACCAGGGCUAAUACCCUUGGUCUUGACGGUACCCGUUGAAUAAGCACCGGCUAACUCCGUGCCAGCAGCCGCGGUAAUACGGAGGGUGCGAGCGUUAAUCGGAAUUACUGGGCGUAAAGCGCAUGCAGGUGGUUUGUUAAGUCAGAUGUGAAAGCCCGGGGCUCAACCUCGGAAUUGCAUUUGAAACUGGCAGACUAGAGUACUGUAGAGGGGGUAGGAAUUUCAUGGUGUAGCGGUGAAAUGCAGUAGAGAUCUGAAGGAAUACCGGUGGCGAAGGCGGCCCCUGGACCAGAUACUGACACUCAGAUGCGAAAGCGUGGGGGAGCAAAACAGGAUUAGGAUA
rnacentral:rRNA from 1 species